rnacentral:rRNA from 1 species
GUCUGGCCUGCCCACUGAGGUAUUUUAAAGGGCCGCGGUAAUUUGACCGUGCGAAGGUAGCAUAAUCAGUAGUCUUUUAAUUGGAGGCUGGAAUGAAUGGUCGGACAAAGAGUUAGCUGUCUUUGUAUAGUAUUUGAAUUUUACUUUUAAGUGAAAAGGCUUAAAUAGAUUAGGGGGACGAUAAGACCCUAUAAAACUUUACAAAUUGAAUUUAUACUUUUUAAAUUAGAGUUUAAUAUAAGUAAUUGUUCGUUUGUUGUAUUGGGGCGAUAAAGAUAUAAUAGAGUAACUGUCAAGUUUAUUUAAUAGCAAUAGUUAGAGUGGUUGAUCCUUUAUUAGAGAUUAUAAGAUUAAGUUACUUUAGGGAUAACAGCGUAAUUUUCUUUGAGAGUUCAUAUCGACAAGAAUAGUUGCGACCUCGAUGUUGAAUUAAGAUUUCCUUUAGGUGAAGCAGUUUAGGGGGUAGGUCUGUUCGACCUU